AAACAGGGGCAACCCUGUGAGUAAAGUGGCGUACGGGUGAGUAACACGUGACUAACCUACCCUCGAAUGGGGAAUAACCUCGGGAAACCGGGGCUAAUACCGCAUAACACCCCUGGGUGAAAUUCCAAGGGUCAAACGAGCAAUCGGUUUGAGGAGGGGGUCGCGGCUGAUUAGCUAGUUGGUAGGGUAACGGCCUACCAAGGCGACUAUCAGUAGCCGGCCUGAGAGGGCGCACGGCCACACUGGAACUGAAACACGGUCCAGACUCCUACGGGAGGCAGCAGUGGGGAAUUUUGCGCAAUGGGGGAAACCCUGACGCAGCAACGCCGCGUGGAGGAUGAAGUCCCUUGGG
rnacentral:rRNA from 1 species